rnacentral:rRNA from 2 species
UACACGAGCGGCGAACGGGUGAGUAACACGUGAGCAACCUGCCCCUGACUCCGGGAUAAGCGGUGGAAACGCCGUCUAAUACCGGAUACGACCCUUGACCUCCUGGUCGAGGGUGGAAAGUCUUUUCGGUUGGGGAUGGGCUCGCGGCCUAUCAGCUUGUUGGUGGGGUAACGGCCUACCAAGGCGAUUACGGGUAGCCGGCCUGAGAGGGCGACCGGCCACACUGGGACUGAGACACGGCCCAGACUCCUGCGGGAGGCAGCAGUGGGGAAUAUUGCGCAAUGGGCGAAAGCCUGACGCAGCGACGCCGCGUGGGGGAUGACGGCCUUCGGGUUGUAAACCUCUUUUACCACCAACGCAGGCUCGGGGUUCUCUCCGGGUUGACGGUAGGUGGGGAAUAAGGACCGGCUAACUACGUGCCAGCAGCCGCGGUAAUACGUAGGGUCCGAGCGUUGUCCGGAAUUAUUGGGCGUAAAGAGCUCGUAGGCGGCGUGUCGCGUCUGCUGUGAAAGACCGGGGCUUAACUCCGGUUUGGCAGUGGAUACGGGCAUG